CCUACGGGAGGCAGCAGUGGGGAAUAUUGGACAAUGGGGGGAACCCUGAUCCAGCGACGCCGCGUGAGUGAAGAAGUAUUUCGGUAUGUAAAGCUCUAUCAGCAGGGAAGAAAAUGACGGUACGUGACUAAGAAGCCCCGGCUAACUACGUGCCAGCAGCCGCGGUAAUACGGAGGGGGCAAGCGUUAUCCGGAUUUACUGGGGGUAAAGGGGGCGUAGACGGUGCAGCAAGUCUGACGUUAAAGGUCGGGGCCCAACCCCGGGACUGCAUUGGAAACUGGUGAACUGGAGUACACGAGAGGUAAGCGGAAUGCGUAGUGUAGCGGUGAAAUGCGUAGAUAUUAGGAGGAACACCAGUGGCGAAGGCGGCUUACUGGACUGUAACUGACGUUGAGGCUCGAAAGCGUGGGGAGCGAACAGGAUUAGAUACCCUUGUAGUC
rnacentral:rRNA from 1 species